rnacentral:rRNA from 1 species
AGAGUUUGAUCCUGGCUCAGAAUCAACGCUGGCGGCGUGCCUCAGACAUGCAAGUCGAACGCGAAAGUUUCCUUCGGGAGAUGAGUAGAGUGGCGCACGGGUGAGUAACACGUAGGUAAUCUACCUUUGGAUGGGGAAUAACAACCGGAAACGGUUGCUAAUACCGCAUAAUGCAGCGGCACCUAAUGGUGACAGUUGUUAAAGCGGGGGAUCGAAAGACCUCGCGUCUAAAGAGGAGCCUGCGGCGGAUUAGCUAGUUGGUAAGGUAAUGGCUUACCAAGGCCACGAUCCGUAACCGGCCUGAGAGGGCGGUCGGUCACACUGACACUGACAUACGGGUCAGACUCCUACGGGAGGCAGCAGUCGGGAAUUUUGGGCAAUGGGCGAAAGCCUGACCCAGCAACGCCGCGUGAAGGAUGAAAUCCCUCGGGAUGUAAACUUCGCAAGAAUGAGAAGAAUAAGUAGGGGACAAUACCCCCUAUGAUGACGGUAUCAUUUGUAAGCUCCGGCUAACUCCGUGCCAGCAGCCGCGGUAAUACGGGGGGAGCAAGCGUUGUUCGGAUUUACUGGGCGUAAAGGGCGCGUAGGCGGUCAGCACAAGUCAGUUGUGAAAUCUCCGAGCUUAACUCGGAAAGGUCAACUGAAACUGUGCGACUAGAGUGCGGAAGGGGCAACUGGAAUUCUUGGUGUAGCG